rnacentral:lncRNA from 10 species
ACUCUUUGCGUCAGAGCUCUGUGUUACAAAAAAAGGUGAAGUCUUACUCAAUUCAACAGUUUUUAUGCAAAGUCCUCACGGGGAAGAGACUGAUGCCCUGCAAUGCCUCAGGACUCUCCAGAAUGUUUUCACCAGCAAAAAGGCCCUCAGCAGAUGCAGCCUCUCGACCUUGAACUUUCUAGCCUCCAAAAUGGACUAUCGGUACUGAAACCCAGCAAGCUGAAAUCAGCAAAACAAGAUGGUCUUGCUAACUUGAGGAAGCUGUAGCAGCUGGAAGCUCCAGAGAGGAGGGGGCUCAGAGUCUGCACAUCAAUGGGGAGACAUCAUUCUGGCUGCAUUAUGAAUGGAUGGUUUGGAGGAAGAAUGUGGAUAGCUAAACAAGAAGGAGAAUAGAAAGAAACUACUCUUAAGACUAUUGCAAUAUCCAGGUGCAAUGUGCUUUGUUUCUGACUGCAGACUAUAAUGUUUAUUCCUAUUGGGGGCAGAGCAAGAUUUCAGUUUCUUUUCUCAGCAACAAGAAAAUACUCUGUCUGAAAUCAAGCAACUUCUGGGAAGACCAAGAGUGAUGGAAACUAGAGUUACAAAGCAAAAACCCUACAUCCUGAAUGCCCAGCCCGGUCAAUGAAAUUUUUCUGUCUCAUUUAUCAGCUAACUUGGUCCUCUUCCCCUGGGAACAAAACUGAGAAGGGUUAAGAGAUAAUGUGGAAACAAACUCCCCAGCACUUGCCUAAGAGGGCAGCUGUGUACCCAGACCUUCUUUCCUCUAUGUCAUUGUACUAGAAAGAGAGAGUUCCAUACUCUUUAAUCUGAAUAGUUGGCACUCACUUAAAAAAGAAUGCAGCCUGAUUCCUCUCUGCCCCUCUAGCUAUUUCCAGAAAGUUGUUCAUGGGAUGAAUUGGUAAGUAAAGAAUUCAGACACUGGUUCUGAUUAAGGGAUCUUAUAAAUGAUUUAUAACCUUUGGGAACAUCAAAGACAGCACUCAUAAGCCAGGCAAGCUAAGGGGUGCUCAGGAGUAAAAUGCACCUCCCCAUCUCACAAAUCCAUUGUUUUGAUGAAAGGAUAAGAGGCAGUUGGCCUGGGAAGGUGAAAAGGCAGGAAAAGAGUGGGAAGUCAGCUCCUAGGAUAAUAACCACAUCCACAGGCAUUGUCUCCUUUCACAUAUUUACAGCUUUUCUUUCUUAUCUUUCCACACCUCUAUAUUCAGUUAUGUAUGACCUACUAGCAAUUUACAGCUGCUUUAAAUGCAUACAUUUCAGGUAGGGUGUGUUGACUUAUGCCUGUAAUCCCAGCGCUUCGGGAGGCUGAGGUGGGUGGAUCACUUGAGGUCAGGAGUUCAAGAUCAGCCUGGCCAACAUGGCAAAACCCCAUCUCUACUAAAAAUACAAAAAUUAGCCAGUCUUGGUGGUGCACAGCUGUAAUCCCAGCUACUCGGGGGGCUGAGGCAGGAGAAUGGCUUGAACCCAGGAGGCAGAGGUUGCAGUGAGGUGAGAUCACACCACUGUACUCCAGUCUGGGCAACAGAAAGAGACUCCAUCUCAAACAAACAAACAAACAAAUAAAUAAAUAAAUGCAUACAUUGUAUCAGAAAUUAUCUCCCAUAUUGAUGAGUCUUCCAUGGGCAUCUAAUUUAAAUAUUUUUUUCUGAAAAGCAAAAGGUGCUCUAUUAUGUUGCUGGUGAGAGUGCAAAAUGGUAUAGCCUCUAAAGAGAUUAAUGUAACAAUAACUGUUAGAACCAUAUAUGCAAUCACCCUUUGACCUAGCAACCUCACUUCUAGGAAUUCAUCUUGAAGACAUAUCUCUCUAUAUGUAGGCAAAAUGGAAGCUAUUCAAUGUUACAUUGUUAGUAAUAGCAAGUUACUGUCUAUUUUUGUAUCUUUCAAAUACAUGUCUAUUUAUGUGAAAGGAUAAACUGUGGUUUAUCCACAAAAUGAAUUUUUAUGAAGUUGUAAAAAAGAAUGAGUGACAUGUCCAUGAACUGUCAUGGAGUGAUUUCCAGAACGUAUUUU